AAGUCGUAACAAGGUAUCCGUAGGUGAACCUGCGGAUGGAUCAUUACUAAAGUAUCCAUCCUACGUAAUGUGAACCAUAGUCAGUAUUCGGAGUGCCGUACAGGCCCCAGUACCGACUACACUGUAUGUAAAUUUAAACUGACUGAGAGUACUAUACUUAUAGUAACCAAUGAGAACUUUUAGCAACGGAUCUCUUGGCUCUC
rnacentral:misc_RNA from 1 species